GAGGCUGUGGGCUCCCCAAAACUGCCAUGCUGAGGACACUCAAGUGCGUGAGUAUGGAACCACGGAUAGAAUCCCUGGAGCACGGGACACAGGAAAAGCUCUUCUUCCCUCUCAUUUGAUUCAGUGGAACCCAAAAGAGGCUCCCUCCUUGCCCCUCUCCAAGGGGAAUCCAAAAGACAAAGAGGAGGCAGUGGUGAAAACUUGUUGGAGGGAUGGUUGUGAUAAGACGUUUGCAGGGCCAGUCCAGACGGCUUCUGGGAGCAGCUCUAACUCAACAUGUAAAGGCGCCGGGGAGGGAGCAGCAGGGAAGCACAGAAUUCUCAGGAUCCAAUCCGGGUUUCCACUCACUUGUUGUCAUGUCUCCUGCAGUCUGUGACAGCCCCUCCUCGUCGUUCCUUGUCUUUUAAGACCUUGACACUUUUGAAGAGUACUGGUCGGUUAUUUUGUAAAAUAUCCCUCGGUUGGGGUUUUUCUGAUAUUUUCUCAACAUCAGAUUGAGGUGAUGCAUUUUGGCAAGAAAAGCACAGAAGUGUCGUUGUGGUCUUCUCAGUGCAUCAUCUCAGGCAUCCGUGUGUUGAUGUGUCUUAGGGCUGGUGACAUUAACCUUGUUCAUUGGCUAAGGUGGGGUUUGCUAGGUUUCUCCACUGUAAUAUUAUUUUUCUCGCUGAAACUAAUAAAUACUUUGAGGAAGAUACUUUGAGACUAUGCAACUUAUCCUGUUUCUCUUUAAACUUUCACCGACUGGUUUUUGAAUCCAUCAGUGGAGGGAAAGAGCUCUUGAUGGUCACUGGCUCUAGAGCCUCAUUUUUCCAGACUUGAGGGACUGUGGCUUUUAGGAGACAUUGGGGGAGUGGUCCAGGCCCAAGAAAGAACUCUUUCUUCCUCUCUUGUCCAGCCCCAAAGCCAGCCUGGGCCCUCUCAAACCAUCUCUGUACCCUAAGGUAUUCCCAGGCCUCUUCCCUUAAGAGAUACCAAGUGUUUCUCUAACCACUGACGUCUAGAGUCUCUUCUUAGCCCCCGCACCAGCCAUGGGGGAAAGGAAGGGACAGUCAAGGUCCUCCCCAUGUCACAGGUAGGAAGUCUGAGGUCCAGAGAGGUUCACAGUCAAGUAACCAGUUGGAGCCCUCCUUGCGAUUCUCAGACCACCUUCCUCUCCAGGGUCUGCUGGCUGAGCUUCUCAUCUCCUCCUGGCAGAGUCUUAUGUCCCCUGCCCUUCCUUCCUCAUCUCUCCACACUCUCCCCUGCCCAGACCCCUUCACUUUGCCCAUCCCUCUCUCCAAGUCCCAGCCACCUGUGUACAGCAAGGGUUAAGUCUCCUAGAGCUGAGGGCUGUCACUUCUAAGAAUGACAAGCUGGAACCUGAACUGACCUGGACCUGAGUGUCUGUCGCCAGAAAUGCAGGGCUAGCACGGGGGCCAGGAGCAGGCUGGCAGGUAGGAUUGCAGGCCCAGGAGGCAAUCAGGAGUCUGGAACACCCGGGUGCCCUGUCCCCUAGAAAGCUCUACCACCCGCUGGUUUCCCAGGCCAGCCUGCCUGUCUGGGCCAAGCGUCCUGUGAGAACCUGCGCUGACACAACAGAUAGGCUGAUUCAAGUGUUUCCGUGUCCAUGGGCCCGUCUGAGCCUGCCAGCUGCUAGAGCUGAUAGAACAGAGACUGACCAUCCCACGUUUUAGAUGCAGAAGUUUCAGAGGUUGAGGAAAUCCUCAAGCGUCCACAGCAAGGAAGCUUCUCAGCCAGGAUUCAAUCCCAGCUCUACCUGGGCUGUAAGCCUCACUUUUCAAAGACAGGUCCCCUCCCGCCAGAGGGUCCCCAAAAGUCUGAGCCAGAAAGGGCCUCAGGGGUCAUCUAGACAAGUCUCUUAACUUUACAGAUGGGGAAACCGAGGUCCAGAGAGGGGAAAGGUCAUGUUCAAAGUCACACACCAGAACCCGCUUUGAAAGUGCCAAGUGUUUAACAAUUGUUAGCCAGGAAUCUGAGCUAGGCAGGGUGAGAAUGUAUAGGGUGAAAAGAGCUGUGCCUGCACCCCAGAAUCACAUUUGGGUUGUUACGAACAUUAACGGUUGGGUAACCAAAGGCCAGCAACAGAUGGAUUCACUAACCCUCUAUUAGCUCCCUGUUCAAGUAAAAUAAGGCUUAAGUUCUCCAGCCAAUAACCCGUGCUGCCCAGUGCAAACUGAGCUCCACCCCAGCAGCCCAGGUUUCUCACUAACCCCAACAUCCCCACUCAUCUCCCAGCCUCUGCCUGAAUUUCCUCUUCUGUCUCCUCUUUCUGCCCAACUCUCACACUCUUUGAGGCCAAGCCUCAGUUCAACAGACAGAUGUAAUAUAUGAUUUCUGUAGACUGUGUGGCAUAAAGUAGAUGCUCAGUGAAAGACAGACAGAAGAGAAAGAGAGAGGGGCAAGGAAGGGAGGAAGGGAGGAAAGGGAAGAUGGUAAAGAAAUGUGGAAGGAUGGAUGGAUGGAUGGAUGGAUGGAUGGAUGGAUGGAUGGAUUGGCAGGUGAGUGGGCAGAUGGAUGGAUGGAUGGAAGGAUAAUGGAUGGAUAAAUAGAAAAAUGGAAGGUGGAUGGAUGGUGGGUGGGUAGGUGGGUGGGCAGGGGGGUGAAGGAUGGUUGGAACACAGAGAAACGGAUGUCAUCCCACCCAUCCCAAGGUGGGCAAGCAUCCUAGAGGAGUUUUUAACUUCGCUGAACCUUGACGAUGAAUACACGUUAAGCAAGCUAAGGAAGUGAGGAAGGACAUCCCAUUUGCUCAGGGAAGCACCUGAGCAAAGACACAUAGGCGUGAGACGUGGGUCUGUUGGAGAACGCAAGCACUUAAGCAUUGCUGGAGCACGCUGCUGAAGGCUGGAUCUGCCUGAUGGAACUGAGAGCAGAGGCUGGGGGACGAAGGCUGUGCUAAGGAGGUCAGACUUUAUCCUGACAACUCUGGGGGCACUGAAGGGUCCUAAGAAGGGCAAUGACGCUGUCAGGUGCGUUUACAAGGGCUACUCUGGCGUCCCUGUGGAACACACUUUGGGAGAGGGGGAAGCGAAGGGAAAACGCGAAGGAAGAUGCCGCUUGCCCUUAUCCAGAUAAGGGACGGGUUUGGUGGACUUCUCUCGCAGGGAGUCCCACCCCCUCACCUCAGAUCACCUGGAUCUCCCCUUUUUCAGCGCUCCCAGUACUUCUAUGAUCUGUGCACCCCCCCAUUAUAGUUUACUACAGUGCCUUCGGGGGCCAGCCACAAAGUGUCUCUCUCAUGUAGUAGGUGUUCAGGGUGUUAAUUUACUGUAAUUACUCUGGCCUGACAGGGGAGACACAGCCCUUAUGCUUGGGGGCACCCAGUCUAAUGGGGGAGGGCAAAUGAGCCUAGAUCCUUCUCUGCUCCGUAGGCUGAGUGGAGCCCAGAACCGAGGAGCCGCCGGCGGGGGCGCGGGGGCGGGGGUGGGUAGCACACGGAAGCCUUCUUGGAAAGGUUUGACUCAGGUUUGAAAGAAGGAAGAUCCCUGGAUGGGUGGAGUGGGAGCCGGCAUUCCCAGACAGGGGCGUGGCUGUGAGAACUCCAGCGCCAGCAACGUCAGCACCUGGGAAUCACAAGAGCUGUGUCAGGAGCCUUGAGCGACAGGCUCUGGGAGAGGGUACGGGAGACCCCGCAAGAAAGGCAAGGCUUCCCAGCCGGAAGGAAAGGCAGUUCCAGCCUGAAGGGUAGAAAGAAAGGAGCAGUUUCCACCAGUCAAAGGUGGGGGACCAGGUUCAAGGCCGUGCAGCCCACCCCGCCCCCCAGGCUGAGACACGGAGGAGCCUGGGAGGGAGCAGGGCCUCCCAGGUCCGUCACACUUGGGGUUCCAGCCUGGGCUCCCCCACUGACCAGCUGUGUGACUUUGGACAAGUCACUGCAGCCCUCUGAGCCUGUUUCCUAUCAAAUGGGCAAAAUUAUCGUUCCUCCCUCGCAGGAUUAUUGAGAGGAGUAGACAAUUCAUGGCAGGUAGCCAGCACGGUGCUUGGCACAGAGGAAAUUUUUAGCUAAAAACUUAUCUUAAACGAAGCCCUAGAGGUCAAGGGCGGGCAGGGGGUGAGCACAAAUGGAAAACAGGUAUCAAAAUUCAAGCAAAGGCAGAGGCAAAGAACAAAGAGGAGUCCAGGAGAGCGCUGGGGCAUCGGUGUGACAGGAGGAGGGAGACCUCGGGAGAGCUGCUGAGGCCAGCAGGCCUCUGUGAUGAACUGGUGAGUCUGCGAGGGCCUGGCCAGGGCGGAGUCGCUGGGAACUGGUAGGUGCGGAAGCCCUGCCAAGGAAGAGUCAGCAGGACGGCUUGGGUGAGAGGGGAAAAGGCAGGGGCCCACAUCCUGAGGUUGGAGGUCCAGCACUGUCCCCCUGCACCUCCCGCCCCCCACCUCCCCGCCCCCAGCCUGGGAGUGAGGGAGGUGGGGAAGCAGCAGCUCAGGGAUUCCAGUGAGACCCCGAGACCAGGGAAGUCCCACCAGUCACGCGGCAUUACCUGGUUCUCCAAGCAGCCCUGGCUGUCGGUGCAACGGGGGCAACAUCUGUCUUCAGACACACACACAUACCCAUUUCUAUGUCACUCACUUCCAAAUGAGGGGACUGGGCAGUUUAUGAGAAAAGACACAUGUACAGCAGAGCAAAGGAAACCAUAAACAAAAGAAAAAGCACACAGGCUGGGAGAAAACAUUUGCAAACGAUGCAGCUGACAAGGGGUUAAUUUCCAAAGUAUACAGAUAGUUCAUAC